GUUUAUAUUUAGAACAUGGACAUUAUAUAUUCAGUUGUUUACAUGUAGCCGAGAUAUCAAGAAGUCUAUUAAAUAUCAGAAUAUUAUAUGCGGUGUUGCUAUGUUCUUGUAUACGUCGAGACCGUCUAAUUGGCUGUUCCGCGGUUGAUCUGAUCCAUAGUGUCAUGGUUGAGUGAAUUCUUCUGCUAGGGAUGGCGUCAUUGGAAUGUUUGGAUUGUUGUGUGGCGGAUGUUGAAGGAAGUGUUAUUUGGAAGUUAGUAUUAGUCAUAGUAUCGUUAUUAGUAGGACAUUUACGUGUUGUUUUAAGUUGUAAGUAAAUAGUGGGAAUUUCAACGUGUCGGUUAAUUGUAUUACCAGACAUACUGUACCAUGCCUCUUUAAAUUCACGUGCGUGUUUUGUUUGUGCUCGUCCUAAUAGUUCCGUUUCUGUCCAGUUGAAGGUAUGGCAGUUGUCGUAUGUGUGUGCUGCAGGUAGUGAUUUAUAAUCGUAUCGUUUUAUGGCGUUUUUGUGUUCAGUUAUUCGUGUUUCAACUUUUUUCGAGGUUUGAAAUAUAUAUCGUUCUGGACAGUCUCUGCAAGGUAUCAUGUAUAUAGCAUUUUUUGUUUGUUUUGAUGCUGUUUUGUCUUUGUGUUUUGUGAAAUAUGACCUAAGUUUAUGUGCCGGUUUGUGUGCUACGUCAAUGUUGAAAUGUCGCAAUAAUCUGGCGGUCAUUUCAGAUGUACUGUUUAUGUAAGGUAGAGUUAUUCUUGUCCUUGAUUGUUCAGGUUGUUCGUCAGGUAUGUUACUCUGUUGUUUGUUACGUAUUUUUGUUAGUAUUUUGUUAAUGAAGUUCCUAGGGUAGUUGUUUUUCAU
rnacentral:lncRNA from 1 species